UGACAGUCGAACGGAAUCCUUAGGGAUUUAGUGGCGGACGGGUGAGUAACACGUAAGAACCUGCCUCUAGGACGGGGACAACAGUUGGAAACGACUGCUAAACCCGGAUGAGCCGAAAGGUAAAAGAUUAAUCGCCUAGAGAGGGGCUUGCGUCUGAUUAGCUAGUUGGUGAGGUAAGAGCCCACCAAGGCGACGAUCAGUAGCUGGUCUGAGAGGAUGAUCAGCCACACUGGGACUGAGACACGGCCCAGACUCCUACGGGAGGCAGCAGUGGGGAAUUUUCCGCAAUGGGCGAAAGCCUGACGGAGCAAGACCGCGUGGGGGAGGAAGGUUCUUGGAUUGUCAACCCCUUUUCUCAGGGAAGAACACAAUGACGGUACCUGAGGAAAAAGCAUCGGCUAACUCCGUGCCAGCAGCCGCGGUAAUACGGGGGAUGCAAGCGUUAUCCGGAAUGAUUGGGCGUAAAGAGUCCGUAGGUAGUCAUCCAAGUCUGCUGUUAAAGAGCGAGGCUUAACCUCGUAAAGGCAGUGGAAACUGGAAGACUAGAGUGUAGUAGGGGCAGAGGGAAUUCCUGGUGUAGCGGUGAAAUGCGUAGAGAUCAGGAAGAACACCGGUGGCGAAGGCGCUCUGCUGGGCUAUAACUGACACUGAGGGACGAAAGCUAGGGGAGCGAAUGGGAUUAGAUACCCCAGUAGUCCUAGCGGUAAACGAUGGAAACUAGGUGUGGCCUGUAUCGACCCGGGCCGUGCCGAAGCAAACGCGUUAAGUUUCCCGCCUGGGGAGUACGCACGCAAGUGUGAAACUCAAAGGAAUUGACGGGGGCCCGCACAAGCGGUGGAGUAUGUGGUUUAAUUCGAUGCAACGCGAAGAACCUUACCAGGACUUGACAUCUCUGGAAUCUCCUUGAAAGGGGAGAGUGCCGUAAGGAACCAGAAGACAGGUGCUGCAUGGCUGUCGUCAGCUCGUGUCGUGAGAUGUUGGGUUAAGUCCCGCAACGAGCGCAACCCUCGUCGUUAGUUGCCAUCAUUAAGUUGGGAACUCUAGCGAGACUGCCGGUGACAAACCGGAGGAAGGUGAGGAUGACGUCAAGUCAGCAUGGCCCUUACGUCCUGGGCGACACACGUACUACAAUGCGAGGGACACAGAGCAGCCAACCCGCGAGGGAGAGCGAAUCUCACAAACCCUGGCACAGUUCAGAUUGCAGGCUGCAACUCGCCUGCAUGAAGGAGGAAUCGCUAGUAAUCGCAGGUCAGCAUACUGCGGUGAAUCCGUUCCCGGGCCUUGUACACACCGCCCGUCACACCAUGGAAGUGAGCCACGCCCGAAGUCAUUACUCUAACCCUUUCGGGGGAGGAGGGUGCCGAAGGCGGGGUUGAUGACUGGGGU
rnacentral:rRNA from 7 species